rnacentral:rRNA from 1 species
GGGUUGUGAGGUUAAGCGACUAAGCGUACACGGUGGAUGCCCUGGCAGUCAGAGGCGAUGAAGGACGUGCUAAUCUGCGAUAAGCGUCGGUAAGGUGAUAUGAACCGUUAUAACCGGCGAUUUCCGAAUGGGGAAACCCAGUGUGUUUCGACACACUAUCAUUAACUGAAUCCAUAGGUUAAUGAGGCGAACCGGGGGAACUGAAACAUCUAAGUACCCCGAGGAAAAGAAAUCAACCGAGAUUCCCCCAGUAGCGGCGAGCGAACGGGGAGCAGCCCAGAGCCUGAAUCAGUGUGUGUGUUAGUGGAAGCGUCUGGAAAGGCGCGCGAUACAGGGUGACAGCCCCGUACACAAAAAUGCACAUACUGUGAGCUCGAUGAGUAGGGCGGGACACGUGGUAUCCUGUCUGAAUAUGGGGGGACCAUCCUCCAAGGCUAAAUACUCCUGACUGACCGAUAGUGAACCAGUACCGUGAGGGAAAGGCGAAAAGAACCCCGGCGAGGGGAGUGAAAAAGAACCUGAAACCGUGUACGUACAAGCAGUGGGAGCCUCUUAAUGGGGUGACUGCGUACCUUUUGUAUAAUGGGUCAGCGACUUAUAUUCUGUAGCAAGGUUAACCGAAUAGGGGAGCCGAAGGGAAACCGAGUCUUAACUGGGCGUUAAGUUGCAGGGUAUAGACCCGAAACCCGGUGAUCUAGCCAUGGGCAGGUUGAAGGUUGGGUAACACUAACUGGAGGACCGAACCGACUAAUGUUGAAAAAUUAGCGGAUGACUUGUGGCUGGGGGUGAAAGGCCAAUCAAACCGGGAGAUAGCUGGUUCUCCCCGAAAGCUAUUUAGGUAGCGCCUCGUGAAUUCAUCUCCGGGGGUAGAGCACUGUUUCGGCAAGGGGGUCAUCCCGACUUACCAACCCGAUGCAAACUGCGAAUACCGGAGAAUGUUAUCACGGGAGACACACGGCGGGUGCUAACGUCCGUCGUGAAGAGGGAAACAACCCAGACCGCCAGCUAAGGUCCCAAAGUCAUGGUUAAGUGGGAAACGAUGUGGGAAGGCCCAGACAGCCAGGAUGUUGGCUUAGAAGCAGCCAUCAUUUAAAGAAAGCGUAAUAGCUCACUGGUCGAGUCGGCCUGCGCGGAAGAUGUAACGGGGCUAAACCAUG